AUAAUCUCAAACUUGUUCCUCUUAACUUCAGUAGAAGAAUUUCUGGGAAUAGAUAAAUGUGUGUAUGCAAAGUGUUGUGUGAUGGGAUGUGGCCUGUGGCUGGGUUAAUUAGCUAGAGAUCUCAAUUAGCUAUGCCGGGGCAGAUCCUUUGUGUCUGUACAGUUUAGGCCAAGAAGAGAAGCAAACGUGCUACUCAUCAUUGCCAUCAUCCAUCUCUACUCAAAUUAUGUUCAUCUUUUUCAGUUCAUCUUUGAAAUUUCGGUCCAUUUUCUGUUGGCAGGAUGCGUAAAAAAAGUCGAAGGCAGCAACUCAAAAAUAGAUGAAUAUUGGAAGGAAGAUGUAUAAGGCUGAGAGGAAAUAUCAUCUUGAGUUCAACAUUUGGUGUUUCUUCAGGUCACUUUAGUGUGCAUUUUCAGUACAUCUUCCAGCAGUUCAGUGUGUAUUUUAAGAAGAAAAACCAACAAUGGCAGCUGCACUGGAGCCGCAGGACUACUAUUGCUGAUAGGUUUGUGAACUAAUAAACAUUCUUUUUAUGUUCCCGUGAUGUUUCAUAUUUUUGUGAACUGGUAGUUGAUGCUCUUUGUGGACUGAUAGCUGAUACUUUUUGUUAACCGAUAAACUGAAUAAAUGAGAUGGAUGUAUUAUGAGGCUGCGAAAAUGAUGUAAAAAUAUGUGCAGUUCAGCGGAUGAGUAUUAUGCAUGUCCUUCUAAUCUGAAGGUAGUGGCACCACUAAGAAAAACAAAAUAAUCAGUUUUUUGUAGCCACGGAAUGGGCAUUUGGCUCAGUAAUCUUCCAUUGCUAGAGCACUCAAGCCGUUCACCCUUGCCACCACAAGCCGUUCACCUCCGCCACACGAGGCCGUGCGACGAUGCAAUAUCAGAACGUUCACCUCUGCCACAGGAGGCCGAUGCAACGCUAAGAAUGUUUUGUUCUUUUUCAGUACAUGUUUUGUGUGCUUUUUAGUACACCUACUUAACGAUUCUAUGUCCAAUUUCCCCUGUUUAAGUGUUCUUCCUAUAGCACAACAUGAGUUGUGUGUUAUGCCUUAAUAAGCAUUUGAGAAAACCUUGUAUGGAUCGAAACUAGCAUAUGUUAUGUUCUAUUCUUGUAAAUGAAGCUCCACUUUUGUUUUG